CUACGGAAUCGCACGGAGGUGGGGAGCGAACCCCCGAUAUUGGGAAAAAAUCCUUCAACAUCCCCUUUAAUUUCUUGCCAGAAUCCAAAAGGAAAUCGGGUGCAAAGCGACUGAAAAGCAUUAAAAAAAAAAAAAACAAACCAAACGAAAAAAAUUUAGUCCAAGCCAAGUUCAUUGUUAUCGAAGACAUGGAAGAGACCUAUUGCUGGAGGCUGCAGGGAGCAUCAGGAAAGAAAGGACGAAAAUUCCCCCGGUGCCUGGGUAUUUCCGAAACUCCCCGGCCCUUCCGCAGCCCCCGGUGCCGAGGAGAGGACGGGGAAACCACCGCCGGCACCGUGCCGAGAGCGAAGGAGACGGGCUUUGGGCUGGUGGUUGAGCAUCCGGCGUGUUCGAGAUGCGCCAGGAGACAGUUCUGGCGGAAAUAAUAACUAACCAAUCAACCAAAGAAAUAAAUAAAAAACAACAAAACCAAAACAACCCCACUGUGUAAAAAUAAUAAA